UUCUCUCUCAAAAUUUACUUU
rnacentral:piRNA from 1 species